ACUCAAAGGAAUUGACGGGGACCCGCACAAGCGGUGGAGCAUGUGGUUUAAUUCGAUACUAACCGAAGAACCUUACCCAGGCUUGACAUCGAUCGUAACGUCGAGAAAUCGGCGCCCCUACUCACAAGGUAGGCGUGAAGACACCUGUUGCAUGGCUGUCGUCAGCUCGUGCCGUGAGGUGUUUGGUUAAGUCCAGCAACGAGCGCAACCCGCAUCCUAUGUUGCCAACGGAUAAAGCCGGGAACUCAUAGGAAACCGCCGGGGCAACCCGGAGGAAGGUGCGGAUGAUGUCAAGUCAGCAUGGCGGUUACGCCUGGGGCUACACACAUGCUACAAUGGACGCAACAAUGGGUCGCAAUGUCGCGAGGCGGAGCUAAUCCCAAAAUACGUCCCCAGUUCAGAUUGCAGUCUGCAACCCGACUGCAUGAAGUCGGAAUCGCUAGUAACCGCAGGUCAGCUAUACUGCGGUGAAUACGUUCCCGGGUCUUGUACACACCGCCCGU
rnacentral:rRNA from 1 species